rnacentral:sRNA from 1 species
UCUCCUAUCCAAGUACUAACCAGGCCCGACCCUGCUUAGCUUCCGAGAUCAGACAAGAUCGGGUGCUUUCAGGGUGUUAUGGCC